GGGGAGCACCCAGAGCUGGCUGCUGGUGGUCCUGGGUGGCAAAGAGGAGCAAAAGGUGGCUGCUGUUCAGAGAAGAGCUAGCAGGCUCUGGGCUGCAGCCACCAGAGGGCACGUUCCAGCUUGCGAAGCACUGAUGUUACUGUAGUCUGAGCUCCUGAGCCUUCUGCAUCUCUUUAUGAACUCACUUGGAGCUUUGUUUUCUACUCUGCACUAAUCGUGGUGUACCAGGGAAAAAGAAUAUUCAGGUCCCUAGGAGGGAGUGGAGCGAUGCUGUAAGCGCAGGCGUUGUGCCUGCUGAUCCCCGAGCACAACUGGAUCUUCCUGUCUCUUACACAAGGAGGACGAGCAUAACCUUCAAAGGCAGAGUGGCUGAUGGAGAGCCCUGGCUGGAGGAUGUGUCUGGCUGCUUCAUUUACGUGCAGAGACACUAGAUCAACACCUGCAGAACACAGCUAGAAAUGAAGACUGCGUAUUGCAACAUUCCCUUCCUGCAGCUCGCGGUGCGCAGGGAUAGACGGGCUGUCAGCUUCUGUUGCAGCCACAGAAUAACUCACCAUCUGGUUUUUGUUUUUAAUUUAAAUGCUAGAAAUAGACCUGAACCAAACCUGUGGUCCCAGGUCCCAUGAGGGUUGCUAGAAAUUCUUCUGAGUUAAAUAAUUAAAUAAACAAAAGUUAUUUAAUCUC
rnacentral:lncRNA from 7 species